AAUCUGUUUCCAUGGGUGAAACCCAAAGCUGACUUCAAGGCAAGUGACAAGACCAAGUACUCAGUGUUGCCUGGGCUCCAGGACAGCAGUAUGUGCCUGUCAGAGCAUUUGGAUGUCCUCUAUAGGUGAUAUGAGAAAGGUGAAGACAGGUAACAGCCGGCAAUUCCUUUGUGCCUAACAGCUCUAUGUUUGGAUCCAUUUAUCAACCGAAGGAGCAGACUGGCUCUCUGUUGGACAGCUGCAACCAAGAAACAAAUAAGGUGAAAGCAGUAAUUCACAUCACCAGAGUGAAUGAAGUUCUAUUGCCUUUGUUGGUCCAAAUCAUGUGAGUUCUUAAUAAAAUCUCUCCUGGUAUUGAGCUACUUGUAAUGUUACUUUUCUUGGUGAUUCUCUGGACUUUACUAACACUUGAGCUUGUUAUUUAGCACCAUGCCCGGUAUGCUCUCAUUCUCCUACCUGGCUGCCUGUUUUCACAACCUUUGUAAAAACAACAAUAUUUUGUUAUUCAGCCAGGCUGAAAUUCACUAGCAAGUAGUAGAAAGGAUAAAGAAGAUCAAGGAAGUUUAUCAAGUUAAUCAGUGUAAUAGUGUUUGAUGUGUCAGAAAUAAGGAAAGGAAAUUUCUUGAAUUCAAAAAUAUUUUGUGUGCAUGCACAUUUCUGAAGUCUCAAUAGAUUUCACACUUUUCUAUAGUGGAUACUUGCACAUACACAAGUUAUUUUCCACCUCUGAGUUCAAAUCCUUCUAAAAACAAUUGUAAUUUCCUCACAUUCAUUCAACAAAUAGAACAUAUGCUUUUUUAAACUCUUUUCUUAUGUUGUUGUUGUUGUCGUCGAUUUUUGUGAGAUGAUACCCUUUUGGACUAAGGAUGCCCUAGGAAAAGCAUAACAAAGGGAAAACAUACAAAGGAAAUGUAUAAAGAGAAAUCAAAUUGGAUCCCAGAACUGAGGAUGAAGAAAUCUCAUUACCAACAUCACACAACCCUCCCAGUGAGAGCUGGAGACAAUGGUGACUCACUGCAGCAUCCCCAAACUCUCGUACUGACAAGUAGGGGGCCUUGAGAAGGUUAGGCUU